rnacentral:rRNA from 1 species
AGUGAACGCUGGCGGUAGGCCUAACACAUGCAAGUCGAACGGCAGCACAGUAAGAGCUUGCUCUUACGGGUGGCGAGUGGCGGACGGGUGAGGAAUACAUCGGAAUCUACUUUUUCGUGGGGGAUAACGUAGGGAAACUUACGCUAAUGCCGCAUACGACCUACGGGUGAAAGCAGGGGAUCUUCGGACCUUGCGCGAUUGAAUGAGCCGAUGUCGGAUUAGCUAGUUGGCGGGGUAAAGGCCCACCAAGGCGACGAUCCGUAGCUGGUCUGAGAGGAUGAUCAGCCACACUGGAACUGAGACACGGUCCAGACUCCUACGGGAGGCAGCAGUGGGGAAUAUUGGACAAAGGGCGUAAGCCUGAUCCAGCCAUACCGCGUGGGUGAAGAAGGCCUUCGGGUUGUAAAGCCCUUUUGUUGGGAAAGAAAAGCAGCAGGUUAAUACCCCGCUGUUCUGACGGUACCCAAAGAAUAAGCACCGGCUAACUUCGUG